GUCGGCACUGGAAGGCGCCGGGACGCCAUCUCGGUCUUUCGAGGUUGGGAGUUGGCGCUUUCCGUGAAUGGUGCCGGACACGAAUGCAGUGUGGCUUUUGAUGGCUUCUGAUGGACAGUUUCGUGCUGAAGGGGCGGAAGUGGCUGGCAAGAUCCUGAAGUUAAACACCCUGGCUAUGGGCAGGCAGGCAUUACACAGAAUGAGAUGGAAGUUGGAGGGGUGGACUUGAGUCUUUAACAUGUCUGGACAGACCAAUUAUGGGCUUACAGGCCCCUAUCAUGGAUGGCUUGCUUGGGGUGCUGAGUUUGAAGAACUUUUUAUAUAAAGGUAUGAAGAGUUGGGGCAGCUUACAAGGCCUGGAACGGGGAGUUUAAGCCAAGGCCGACUUGUCAACCUGAAGAUUUAAAGGUAAGUUGGUCUCUGGUCUGUGUGGGAAGUUAGAAUGUAACCAGUGAUGUAGUGAUUCUGCCAAAUGAAUUAGAAUGAUAUCACUCCUAAAACCGUUCCAUUUUGAUUCUGAGGUUACUUUAUUGACAAGUAUCACAAUGUUUUUUUGUUUUUUACCAUGAUUAACUUGGAAUUGUUGCUUUUAGGGCAGUUAUGCGAGAGCAGCAGUCCAGUUAUGAGAGCAGCUUAACAGUUAAAAGGCACCUGAAUGGAUGCUCAUGGGAUAGAAGAAGAAAUCAAUUUCAAUAAAUUCUUACGAACCAUCUGAUCAAGAGUGCUUAUUUCAAUUUAAUGGGAUGAAAGAAGGGAAAUAGGACACCUUUGAAGUUUAAGACCCUGUGACAGUUUAAGUAAUGACCUUUUCAUGUGUAUUUUACAGGAUGUCCUGGGUUUGAAAGUAAAAGCAGAGGAAUGUACUACAGCCUUUUUGUUUAGAAUACUGUAUUUGUGUUGAUUUAGAACAGUGACAUGACCUGGGAUGAGCUGUAUGACUUGCAGAAAUUUUCUAGGGCUGAAUGAAUCCCUGUCGGCAAAAUACUUGCUAUUGCACACCACGGUGAUGGGUCUCUUGGAAGUGUUGAUACAUUGUAUUAGGAAGUGUGGGAGGCCGCAAUAAGGCUUGAGA